rnacentral:rRNA from 1 species
UGGGGAAUAUUGGACAAUGGGCGCAAGCCUGAUGCAGCAACGCCGCGUGAGUGAUGAAGGCCUUCGGGUUGUAAAGCUCUGUCUUUUGGGACGAUAAUGACGGUACCAAAGGAGGAAGCCACGGCUAACUACGUGCCAGCAGCCGCGGUAAUACGUAGGUGGCGAGCGUUGUCCGGAUUUACUGGGCGUAAAGGAUGCGUAGGCGGAUAUUUAAGUGAGAUGUGAAAUACCCGAGCUUAACUUGGGUGCUGCAUUUCAAACUGGAUAUCUAGAGUGUGGGAGAGGAGAAUGGAAUUCCUAGUGUAGCGGUGAAAUGCGUAGAGAUUAGGAAGAACACCAGUGGCGAAGGCGAUUCUCUGGACCAUAACUGACGCUGAGGCAUGAAAGCGUGGGUAGCAAACA